AUGAGUUGCGGGCCAGCGAUGGGGAAAGUUAAUAGCCAGGGCUUAGAAGUCAGCCCGCUCAAGUCCAAAUUACAGGAAAAGACAGAACAAUCUCAACAGCUGCAAGAUCAAAUUCUCAAGCAGCAGGAGGCUCUAAGUAGGGCAAGCCAAACUCUCAAAGACACCAGGAAAGCAGCUGGCAAUAAGGUAAAAAGAGCGUCUCUCUCUUUCUCCCUAGCUCGCUCUAUCGUCCCUCCUUCCACAAAAAGGGAAAAAAGUGUCUCUGAACUUCUCUCCUCCCCUGUGAUGCUGUAUUCCCAGGAUGUGUUGUUUAAGAAGAAUACAGAGUCUAUUACACACAUUUUACAGUGUCUUAUCUAAAUUUCACCAUUCAGAGAUUGUAUUUGUGUUGCCGUUCACUGAAACACGUACAUCGUACACCGUAUUUUUGUAAUCACAGAGGACUAACUCUGUGUAGAAAGAAAACAGCACGGCUGUGUCAAAUCCGAACAGGCAAAGGAUUCAGUAUUUUAAGUGUUUUCUCAACCGAGCAAAGCUGUCUUCUUUUUGCUUUAAAUGAAUAUCAGAUGACGAAGGGUGGAAAUGUCCAAGUGUGAAGCUUUAGAUGAGUUAACCUAAUUUUCCCUGAGACAAAGUAGAUGUUUGGCGAUAUGCAUUUAAUUCCUCCGCUGCACAAACAACUGGCCGUUUAACCUCCCGACCCCUGCGGAUAAAUAUAUGUAUAGGCAAACAUAAGUGUCUGGUGAUGGGUUUCAAUUAAUCGCUGGGACUUUUAUCUUCUUUGGCAAACCAAACAGACGUUAAGUUCUGCAUGGGUCACGUUACUGGUUCCACAUCUGGUUCUGUUUCGCUGCGAAAACCUUCUCUCUGAUCUCAUAUGCUGAACUACUGUAACUUUGCCACUGUCUGUUUCCUGUUGGAAAAAGGGGAGAGGAGGAGGAAAAAUGCGUCGAACAAUAAUAUCUUUUGUCCCAGAGAAGUUCCUCCGUUGGCACAGCUGAACAAAUAGCCUUAAUAGUUUGGUUUGAAAGAACUCUUCCCAUCGCCGGUGUCUGAUAUUUAUGAUUUCAGCGGCGCUGGACCAAGCUCUUCGUUUUCAUUUCUCUGGAUUUGUUUGAACAGAUCAUCCCUUCCCCACAGAGGAACGAGAUACACAGAGGGGUUUGUUUCUUCCCCCCUUUCCGAAUGCUACUAAAUUAAUAAGACGUCAAAGACAACAAAACCCAGUGUUUUACUUGCUCGACCCUGGCCUCCAUUAGUGAUGAGACAUGAGGGAAGAUAAUUUGUCCCUCUGAAGUUAGUGCACAUCAGAGGAGAGAGACAAUAACAAAGGCCUCCGCGGCGGGGGCCAUGAUGCAUUCCAUUCUUCACAUUACCCAUCAGCCCCUGCUGCCGACUGGCCAGAGUGACUUAUGUAGACUCUUUGAUGACGCAAUUUAUGUGGUAAUUUACAGAGUUAAUAUAGUGAAGUUUGUAAUAUUUUUGCUUAAAAUGGGAAUGCAGUUUAUUUUUAUUUUUUUUCAGUAGUCUACAAUGUAAUAUAAUACAGAAAUUUUGCCUGCCGUAAUUUACAUCCAUAUUCCAGACCAGGAAAUUUGAAAAUGGUCCAUUAUUGUUUAAUUUUUUUUUAUUUAUUUAGUCUAUGUCAUGUAAUUUUCAUAAUUUUAUAUAUAUUUUAAUACAACUAUUUUGCUGUGUUUUUAAAAAUAUUUUUUAAUAUGAAUGUAUAUGGUAAAAUUGUCAAUUCUCUCACUAUUUUGAAGAUUCAAAUAUUUUCAAAACUUCUUAUAUAUAUAUAUAUAUAUAUAUAUAUAUAUAUAUAUAUAUAUAUAUAUUUAUUUAUUUAUUUUUAUUUUUUAUUUUUUUUUUUUUCAACA
rnacentral:lncRNA from 1 species